GUCUGCGCUGCAUCCCCUCCGCCCCGCGGUGUCCCGGCGGGCCGCCCUGUUCGCCCUCACCGGGCAUGCAGGGACUGCUGCGGCGGCUUCUCCCAGCGCUUUACGCGGCGCGGCCGGUGGCGGCCCGCGCCCUCCUCGCCCGGCGGGCUGUGCCCGCGUUCCCGCGCCUCAUGGCGCUGCGGCCGGCGGCGGGAGCCGGAGAAGGAGAAGGCGGCGGCGGCGGCGGCCUCUUGAGCGCAGGCGGCGCGACCCCGGAGCACGAUGGGCUGGAAAAUGUACAACAAAAGAAAAUCUUUGAAGAGAAUAAGAAAGAGACAGAAGAGACAGAAGAGCCAUGUCCUACUGAUUCAGUAGACUCUCUGAUGGCAGAAAUGCCAUUUGUCGACACAGAUAUUGAGGAUAAAUUUAUUAUGCACACAACCUCUGAAAUAACUAUAAAAAAGAAAAGAAAGAGGACUACUGGGAAGGAAAUUGAGGAAGACAGUGAGAGAAAGAAGAAAAAGAAAAAACAGUAUCAGCCAAAUUAUUUCAUUUCUCUUCCAAUUACUAAUCCAGAGGUGAAAUUCUUUAUUAUACUAAUUUGUUAUAACCAGAAUUAUUUCAACAACUGCAUGUAAGAACAGUAUUUGAUCUUGAGCAAAAUAUUUUUUUCCAGAUAGUUUGAGAGGAAUAUUAUAAGCCUAUUCAAAGAAAAGCUUUAUAUUAUGUAAGAUUUUUGUAAAUAAAAUUGCCUGUCUGGAAGAGAGUAGGGGAAAAUAUCUUUUUAUUUGGUUUGUCAGUCUUAUGAAUUUCACAUUAUUUUGACUGAAGCUGGCUCUCUACUGUUCCAGUAUUGCUUAUUUUGUCCUUUACUUAGAAAAAGGAAGAGAGAUAUUCCUAUUUAAUUUAAUAAGAAAAUCCCUAGCAAUAUUUUUAGCUCUCCCUACAGAUAGGAAUUUGGUUCUCUUGCUGUUUCAACUGGUCAGUUUGUAGUUUUAACAUUUUCUAUCUUAUUUGAAAUUCAAGCAAUCCAUUGUUUUAGUGAGAUACUGUUCAAAUGCAUUCAAGACGUGCAGAGAGCUCUUUAAGAAAAUGUGUUUUAUUGUAGUUAGCAGGCGUUGUCUCAUUUGGACAGUAAAUGAGAAUGAUUUCUUGCAUGCUGCGGGAUGUCUCUGAUACAGCUUCCAUACCUUUUGUGUCUGCAAACAAGGAAAAUAGGUACAUUAUGUUAAACCAAUCAGUUUACCACCAUUUCGAAAUUUAGGUUUGUUUUUUAAUACCAGGAGCUAUCUCAAGUGAAUUUUAACUCAUCCUACAGCUGUACUAUCUGUUCUCUGGCAAAGUCAAAGAUUGAAAAAUCCAAAAUG
rnacentral:lncRNA from 1 species